GAUGAACGCUAGCGGCAGGCUUAACACAUGCAAGUCGAGGGGCAGCGCGGGAUAGCAAUAUCCUGGCGGCGACCGGCGGAAGGGUGCGUAACGCGUGAGCGACAUGCCCGUUGCCCGGGGACAACCGGUGGAAACGCCGACUAAUCCCCGAUGGGAUAUUGUGCCGCAUGGCACGAUAUUGAAAGUUACGGCGGCGACGGAUUGGCUCGCGUCCGAUUAGCUUGUUGGCGGGGUAACGGCCCACCAAGGCUGCGAUCGGUAGGGGUUCUGAGAGGAAGGCCCCCCACAAUGGGACUGAGACACGGACCAUACUCCUACGGGAGGCAGCAGUGAGGAAUAUUGGUCAAUGGGCGGAAGCCUGAACCAGCCAUGCCGCGUGCGGGAAGGAGGCCCUAUGGGCUGUGAACCGCUUUUGCCUGGGGGCAAUAAGGGCGUCGCGCACGUCCGAUGAGAGUACCAGGCGAAUAAGCAUCGGCUAACUCCGUG
rnacentral:rRNA from 1 species